GUACCAACAGGUCACGUUUGGUUAGAAGGUGAUAACUUAGAGAAUUCUACCGAUUCCAGAUGUUACGGACCUGUACCAUAUGGACUCAUAAGAGGACGGAUCUUCUUUAAGACAGGUCUUAAAGUCUCCCUUCCUGUGUCUGUCUCAUUUGGCCUUUCAGUGAUUUUGGAUUUCUGCGUGACAGCCCAAAUGGCCACAGAUUUUCUGAUGAUUAAUAAGUAUUUCCUUUUAAUUUGAUUAUUGUCUCCUAUUCAAGUGACUUUAUUCUUACUACAGUUGAAACCGUGAACUUAACAAUAAACUAUUUGCUAUUC
rnacentral:lncRNA from 1 species